rnacentral:snRNA from 1 species
GACAUUGCAAAAAAGUCCGAC